rnacentral:rRNA from 1 species
AUUGAACGCUGGCGGCAGGCUUAACACAUGCAAGUCGAGCGGAGACUUCGGUCUUAGCGGCGAACGGGUGAGUAAUACCUAGGAAUCUGCCUAUUAGUGGGGGAUAACGAAUCGAAAGGUUCGCUAAUACCGCAUACGUCCUACGGGAGAAAGGGGGGGAUCUUCGGACCUCUCGCUAAUAGAUGAGCCUAGGCCGGAUUAGCUAGUUGGUAGGGUAAAGGCCUACCAAGGCGACGAUCGGUAGCUGGUCUGAGAGGAUGAUCAGCCACACUGGGACUGAGACACGGCCCAGACUCCUACGGGAGGCAGCAGUGGGGAAUAUUGGACAAUGGGCGCAAGCCUGAUCCAGCAAUGCCGCGUGUGUGAAGAAGGCCUGCGGGUUGUAAAGCACUUUCAGUGGGAGAACAGAUUCGGGUCAAUACCCCGGAGCCCUGACGUUACCCACAGAAGAAGCACCGGCUAACUCCGUGCCAGCAGACGCGGUAAUGUAGUCGUGU